rnacentral:rRNA from 3 species
CCCAGGUCAGGCGGGGCUACCCGCUGAAUUUAAGCAUAUCAAUAAGCGGAGG